rnacentral:rRNA from 1 species
CCUACGGGUGGCAGCAGUAGGGAAUUUUCGUCAAUGGGGGGAACCCUGACCGAGCAACGCCGCGUGAACGAAGAAGUUAUUCGUAAUGUAAAGUUCUUUUAACAGGGAAGCAAGAGAAAUUUGACGUUCCCUGAAGAAUAAGCUCCGGCUAACUACGUGCCAGCAGCCGCGGUAAUACGUAGGGAGCGAGCGUUAUCCGGAAUUCUUGGGCGUAAAGGGUGCGUAGAUGGCAUAGUAAGUCUUUUGUAAAAAUGCGGGGCUAAAACCAGUAGGGCAAAAGAUGCUGGCAGGCUAGAGUAUGACAGAGGUAAGUGGAACGACAUGUGUAGCGGUAAAAUGCGUAAAUAUAUGUAAGAACACCAGUGGCGAAGGCGGCUUGCUGGGUCGAUACUGACAUUGAGGCACGAAAGCGUGGGGAGCAAACAGGAUUAGAUACCCCAGUAGUC